UUCUGGCUGACGAGUCCUAAGUAGGACGAAACGCACGUCUUUGAU
rnacentral:hammerhead_ribozyme from 1 species